rnacentral:misc_RNA from 1 species
GAUGAAGAACGUAGCAAAAUGCGAUAAGUAAUGUGAAUUGCAGAAUUCAGUGAAUCAUCGAAUAUUUGAACGCACAUUGCGCCCGCCAGUAUUCUGGCGGGCAUGCCUGUUCGAGCGUCAUUUCAACCCUCAAGCUCAGCUUGGUGUUGGGACUCGCGUUAAUUCGCGUUCCCCAAAUUGAUUGGCGGUCACGUCGAGCUUCCAUAGCGUAGUAGUAAAACCCUCGUUACUGGUAAUCGUCGCGGCCACGCCGUUAAACCCCAACUUCUGAAUGUUGACCUCGGAUCAGGUAGGAAUACCCGCUGAACUUAAGCAUAUCAAUAAGCGGAGGA